rnacentral:lncRNA from 1 species
GAGCACAUGUGCCUCGGGAGGGUUAAAGGCAAGUUAGCGAGCACUUGAUGUGACAACCAAUGGGGAGCAGGAGUUUCUGAGAGCAGGAUUCAGGGUUGAUUUCCUAGAAGGGGUUAUGGUGCUAACAGAGGGCAGGAAUGGUCUCGUGCGGGAGUGGGAAGGCCCCACACGGGGGACUCUGUGCCUAGCUACUGGCAGGACGUCCCCUGCACCUCUCCAAGCGAGGGCUGAAGAGAAAGAACCUGGAGCAGAGGUCUGGAGGAAGCCAUUGUCUGCCUGGGCGGAGGAAAAGGAGGCAGGGAGAGAGCCAGGGCUGGAGUGAUGGGCAGGGCCAGGCUAAGUAUGAGUUUGGGGCAAGGCCUUUGUCCCCUCAGGCCUCCAAGUCCCUGUCUUAAUGUGGGUGGUUGGAGCAAAUGCUCUGGGGUGAGGCAGCCCGCCAGACCUCCCUGCCUGCAUCCCCUUUGUCUUGGUCUCUAACUUGCCUCUGCAGGCUUUCUUCUAGGCCCGGCAGAGUCCAUCUCCUGGGCCAGACCCACUUCGGCUGUCCUUCUGUGUCUGCCACCCUCCCCCACCCCAGACACCUGGAGCCCAUCAGAGUGCCUGGCACCACAGCAGCUGCAUGUGCCCAUAGAGGGGA